GAUAAACGCUGGCGGCGUGCAUAACACAUGCAAGUCGAACGAUGAACCUUAUUAGAUUUCUUCGGAAUGAAAAUAAGUGGAUUAGUGGCGAACGGGUGAGUAACACGUGAGUAACCUGCCUUACACAAGGGGAUAGCCUUUGGAAACGAAGAAUAAUACCCUAUAACGUCAAAAUAUCGCAUGAUAAAGUGACCAAAGAUUUAUCGGUGUAAGAUGGACUUGCGUCUGAUUAGCUAGUUGGUGAGAUAAAAGCCCACCAAGGCGACGAUCAGUAGCCGGCUUGAGAGAGUGUACGGCCACAUUGGGACUGAGACACGGCCCAAACUCCUACGGGAGGCAGCAGUGGGGAAUUUUGCACAAUGGGGGAAACCCUGAUGCAGCGACGCCGCGUGAUUUAGAGGGCCUUCGGGUUGUAAAAAUCUUUUUUAUGGGAUGAAAAUGACAGUACCAUAAGAAUAAGGUCCGGCUAAAUACGUGCCAGCAGCCGCGGUAAUACGUAUGGACCGAGCGUUGUCCGGAAUCAUUGGGCGUAAAGGGUACGUAGGCGGCCUAGUAAGUUAGAAGUGAAAUAAUAUAGCUCAACUAUAUAAAGCUUUUAAAACUGUUAGGCUUGAGAGAUGAAAGGGAAAGUGGAAUUCCUAGUGUAGCGGUGAAAUGCGCAGAUAUUAGGAAGAAUACCGGUGGCGAAGGCGACUUUCUGGUCAUCAUCUGACGCUGAGGUACGAAAGCGUGGGUAGCAAACAGG
rnacentral:rRNA from 1 species